rnacentral:lncRNA from 1 species
AUUUGUAAUAGGGUUUGGUUCUUUUUUUACCAUGCCGUCAAGGAAACGUCUAGAAGCCUGUGAAGCCCCAGCCAAAAAGGUGAACAGAUGUGAUGAGGUUUCACAGCUGCGUUGACAAGUGGAGUUGCUGACCCAGCAUAUCGCUACACACGCGCCACAAUAACAUCUGCAUGUGGCCCAAUUGCUCAAGGAUUCUGAAGAUGAAAAUUCAUUUGCAUUACUUAUCAUCUCGUUGAUCUACUUCUCCAACGGAGAGGAGGUGGCCAGAAGGAGAAUAGGCCUUGGGAAUCAGUGUUUAUGGUUGAGAUCUCUAAGUUUCAUGGUGAAUUAAGUCUAGAAGAAUUCUUAGAUUAGGUGACUGCAGUGGAGGAGGUCUUGGAAUUUAAGGAGUUUCCUGUUGGUAAAAGUGUACCUCUCAUUAUGACUAGAUUUCAUGGACAAGCAGCUGCGUGGUAGCAAUAGACAAAGGUAAUGAGGUCUGGAUUAGGGAAGGAAAAGAUUACUUCCUGGGACAAAUUAAAGAAGCACUUAGAAAAGCAAUUUUUGCCCAAUAGCUAUGUCAGAACCAUAAAUCAGUGAUUGUAGAAUUUGCGUCAAUGCAUGAAGACGGUUGAUAACUAUACGGCAUAGUUUUACAUGCUGAUUACUAGAAAUGAGGUAAUGGAGAUGGAGGAAUAGUUGGUGUUACAAUAUGUAGGUGGUCUUCAUCUCCAAGUACAGGACACCCUGAAUUUGUUUGAUCCUGUGAUAGUUUAUAUAGCGCAAUGGCCGACACAGAUAGAGAUGCAAUGGUCUAAGUAAAAUAUCUAUCCUUUCACUUUAAAGGAUUCUUCUAG